GGCCGCCGCCUACGCUCGCGGGGUGAGGGUCGGCGCUGCCCCGCGGAGCUGGACGCGCCGAGUGACUGUUCUCGCCGCGUAGCGUAGGGGGAAAGUCCCUGGCUGGGGGCGAGCCGGCUCUGCCCACGGGGACGCGACGGGCGUCUGGCCAGAGGGCGUGUGAGUCAAGAGCCGGGCUGGGCCUGACUUGGGCACUGUGAGAUGCGGAUGGUGGAAGCAAGAGAUUAAUGGGCCCCUGAAGAUGCAUUUCAUGUGAUGCGGGAGGCAGUGGCGCCUCAAAGAAGGAGAUGAGAUGAGCAAGCCAUCAGCCAACUGCUGAAGACUACAGGAGAGGAUGGAGUGGAUUGGUCCUUGGACCCUCCAGAUGACACCAAGGAGCAAGAUGUUUCUAUGUGCUGGAACCAUGAAGGAGCCACGCUUUGAGUCGCAGGAGCUGCAGAUUGGGGUGGAGGGUGUGACCCUCGUUCUGUGACAGGAGAGAACUUUCAGCAAUAGAGGAAAUGGGGGAAAGGCAUAAAGAAGGCCCUUGUCCCAAGGAAGGAGGAGAGAGUCUCCCAUGGAGUGUCAACCAAUCCCUGCCCUGGAACAGUACUGUGGACACAUUU